UACAGAGGGUGCAAGCGUUAAUCGGAAUUACUGGGCGUAAAGGGCGCGUAGGCGGACAGUUUAGUCAGAGGUGAAAGCCCAGGGCUCAACCUUGGAAUUGCCUUUGAUACUGGCUGUCUUGAGUUCGGGAGAGGUGAGUGGAAUGCCGAGUGUAGAGGUGAAAUUCGUAGAUAUUCGGCGGAAACACCAGUGGCGAAGGCGACUCACUGGCCCGAUACUGACGCUGAGGCGCGAAAGCGUGGGGAGCAAACAGGG
rnacentral:rRNA from 1 species